AAAACUUUCAACAACGGAUCUCUUGGUUCCAGCAUCGAUGAAGAACGCAGCGAAAUGCGAUAACUAAUGUGAAUUGCAGAAUUCAGUGAAUCAUCGAAUCUUUGAACGCACAUU
rnacentral:rRNA from 1 species